GACGAACCGUGCGAACGUUAUUCGGAAUCACUGGGCUUAAAGCGCGUGUAGGCGGAUCGCCGCGUCGGCUGCUGAAAUCCCCCGGCUCAACCGGGGAACGGGCACCGAUACGGGCGGUCUCGAGGGGGUAGGGGGGUCUGGAACUUCCGGUGGAGCGGUGAAAUGCGUUGAGAUCGGAAGGAACGCCCGUGGCGAAAGCGAGGCCCUGGACCCUUACUGACGCUGAGACGCGAAAGCCAGGGGAGCGAACGGG
rnacentral:rRNA from 1 species